GGGUUGGGGGCGUCGGAGGAUUAUGGGGUCCGAGGUGUAGCAGGGCGCUCCGUCCCGCACCCUCCUCUCUGUCCCCACCCGGGCGGCCGGAUCCCGCCAGUAGGCGGGGCCUCGGGGCAGAAAUGUUUCUUUGACUCCACUUGGGACAAACUCAAAUUGACAAAAGCAGGGUACGGGAGGUUGUAUUCUUGGUCUGAGGAAGGGCUUCUGGUAAGUGUCCAAACUGUACCACUUUUUUCCCCCCAGGGAUGGAACUCUGGUCCUUGCACUUGGGAGGCAGGUGAUAGCACCACUGAGCUAAAUCCCCAGCCCAAACUGUACCACUCUAAGCUUCCCACUCUGGGGUCCUGUGCAGCCUGUGCUUUCAGUGAGGACAGGGAUGAGUUCUGAGCCAGCCUGUUCUGUCAGUGGCAGUGGGGACCUUGGCUGCCAGUGGUUUCGAGAACAUGUGACUUCCCAUGGUGCUCUGGUGAGACCAAGUGCAUGGCUUGGUUUAGUUCCAAUGAGAAACAUCUCC
rnacentral:lncRNA from 1 species